rnacentral:rRNA from 1 species
AUUGAACGCUGGCGGCAGGCCUAACACAUGCAAGUCGAGCGGAUGAAGGGAGCUUGCUCCUGGUUUCAGCGGCGGACGGGUGAGUAAUGCCUAGGAAUCUGCCUGGUAGUGGUGUAUAACGUCCGGAAACGGGCGCUAAUACCGCAUACCUCCUGAGGUAGAAAGUGGGGGAUCUUCGGACCUCACGCUAUCAGGUGACCUUAGGUCGGAUUAGCUAGUUGGUGGGGUAAAGGCCUACCAAGGCGACGAUCCGUAACUGGUCUGAGAGGAUGAUCAGUCACACUGGAACUGAGACACGGUCCAGACUCCUACGGGAGGCAGCAGUGGGGAAUAUUGGACAAUGGGCGAAAGCCUGAUCCAGCCAUGCCGCGUGUGUGAAGAAGGUCUUCGGGUUGUAAAGCACUUUUAGUUGGGAAGAAAGGCAGUAGGUUAAUACCUUGCUGUUUUGACGGUACCAACAGAAUAAGCACCGGCUAACUUCGUG